rnacentral:rRNA from 1 species
UACGUAGGUGACAAGCGUUGUUCGGAUUUACUGGGCGUAAAGAGCGCGUAGGCGGUCGAUUUAGUCGGGUGUGAAAGCCCCCGGCUCAACUGGGGAGGGUCACUCGAUACUGAUCGACUCGAAGGCGGGAGAGGGCAGCGGAAUUCCCGGUGUAGUGGUGAAAUGCGUAGAUAUCGGGAGGAACACCAGUGGCGAAGGCGGCUGCCUGGCCCGUUCUUGACGCUGAGGCGCGAAAGCUAGGGGAGCAAACGGG